CUUGUUGGUGCUGGCCAGACAUGGAGCUGGGGGAGUGUUGCCUUCACCAGCUGUGCUCAGGGUGACUGCAUAACUGGAACUGGUGGGAAUUUGAGCUGCUGUUUUCCAAGUGCAUACAACAGCUGGUUUACUGUGCUGUCGCUCUUCAAAAAACCAAAAUAAGACCAGCCAGACCAGGAAAUACUGAAUUCUCCCCCAUCUCUUACCCCAGGCAAACGGUUCCCUAAAAACAAAAUUUCAGACAAGUAAAUAUGAACAUUGUCUAUUGCCAUUUCCUACUGAGAUGUACUUCAGCUCCAGCUCCUACUGACAAUCAUACUGUGUCUCCAAUCAAAGACAGUGGUGAGAUUUGAUAACUGUAAUGGACAGGAAAACAGUGGCAUUUAUGAUAAAUGUGCAUUUGUUAGAAGGUUUCAAGCCAGGUCAAAGGAAGGGGUGCAGAUUGUCCCAGUCAGUGUGAGUGUGCAGAAGGAAGGAUUUAUUGUUAAAUGUCUCCAUCAGGGGUCAGCUUGGACUGGGAAGGAUGUCCUAGGGGAGCAUUGAGCACUGAGCUCCUAAAAUGACAUUGGCCCUCAGUUUGAACAGUGACCACCUCUGUGCAGAGGAUGGGGAUCCUGAAUAACCCCACAUGGAGCAGCCUGGCAAGCAGCCUGCUGAGCCAGUCUGUCCUCUGCCUCAGAAAAAGUGCCUUUCUUCUCUGGGACUCCUUGAACAAAACUCAUGUAUUAUUUUUAUGCUAAAUAUAGCAGGGGAUCAUGAUUGUAUAAUUCCACCAGAGGAAGAAGGCUUCCUCCCCCCUAGCAACAAGCUCAGUGUUCAGGGCAGUCUUCUGUGAUGUGAUAGACAGAAUUUCAAUCCCCUCUCCUGUCUGAUGGGAAUUCAAAACUGCAUCUUCCAUCUUUAAGGAAAGUCUCUGCAUAAGCCCAUCGGCUGUACCAGUCCCUGCCAUAAAAAUAUUUUGUACCUCUUAUAUAAAGACUGUUCAUUAUAUUAUCAAGAUGUGCCUAAACAAGCCUCAGAGGAGGAUGAGUGCUCUGUUUAGCAUAAUGUUUUCUUCUUUUCUCCGUGCUGGUUUUUCCAAAGGAGAAAUGGUAAAAUUGUCUGUCUUCUGAAAUGGCUUCUAUGUUAGUGAUGAGCAAGGAGUGGGGAAUGAAAGUUUGAACCUGUUUAUAUCAUUGAGUAAGCGAUCAUAUUUAUCCUUCUAUAUCCUAGAUGAAUGCUUUGGUUACUAAGACUGCAAGGAAUUUGUGUUGCUUCUGCACUGGGUGUCGUGAAGUUGGUGUUUUUGAUGUAUUCUUUUUAGCUCAAAUCCAUCAGAGAUGCAGAAGAAUCUGAAGAACAUAGGAAAUGUCCCACUGGCUUUGACAGGAGUCCUAUGGCCCAGGGAUUGGUCUGGGAGCUUGAUCUCUCAUAUUUCCGUCUCCCCAAGCUCCUGGCUGUCCAGAGUGGCCUGUGUUAGAGAGGUGUUAGAGAGUACCCCUGCUCUCAGGGUCCAUUUUUGGAUCUCAUUUCUUUGGAACACACAAUUCUGUCUGCCCUCACCAUUCCCUGUGGCGGCACCUUGCAGAAAUCCUCUACCAAGCAUUUGAAAUGGUUUUCUUGAAUUCAGACUGGGCUGCACACUGCUUCAAUGAAACUCUGCCUGGCUUUGAGCCACUGUCUGUGAGCCUGUGUGGACAGAGAGGCACUGGGGACCUGGGGACACUGAUUUCAGCAGAUAAAGGACAGACAGGGUCACUGUGAUGUGAUAGCAGCUGUGAGCUGGUGGCUGGGUUGAAAUUUAUCUCCUUGAAGUCUGAUUUCCAAACCAGGCCUGGAUCUCUCCCUGCUCCCUUUCCUUUCUCAAAGAGUGAUGCUAUUUUUCCAACUCUUCUUUCAGCAAAGGGAUAAUUACAGAUUUCAAACAGCUGAUGAAUAAAUGUGUGGGUUUUUCUAGCAUGGGCCAUCUUCUGAGGGAGACAGGAGAAGUAGCUGUAAUCAACACAUUGUGAAUUAGACCUUGCUCCCCAGUCAGCCUCAUGUGUCUGUCUCAUACUGCUCCAUGUGCUUAUGGGCAGCAGAAAACACGAGGGAGAAUGUAAAUUAAACAUUUGAUUAACUAUCCCUUUCUUUCUGACUGUAGCAGAAUCAGCAUGCAAAUGCCAUUCUGUAUUUUAUUUUUUUUUGCAUUGACAGUGUAGCUACACAAAAAUAUUAUGAUCUUCUGCUGCCAACUGCAACUGAAUGAAUUAUUCUGAAGCAUUCUGAUGCCUGUCUUUGUCACAGUCUCCUAUUUCAGUCCCUGUCAUGCACUGUGCCUAUCAUUCAUUAUAGUUGAUGGGUUGAGGGCAGAAAGGUGUCUCUUGCCUUGUUCUCUGGAGAAUUUUUUCUUGUCUGUCUCACCUUCAAUCACUGCUAAUAGCUUUGCUGGAACAAAUUCAAGAAGGGGCUGUGAGGAGAUGAUGAAAAUAUUUCACAGGGCAGUUUAUAUUUUAAUUGCUAGUUUAAAAAAUGAAUUUGCUGGAGCAGACCAAAAUGAAGAUUGCUUAGAGAUAUUUUUCAUACAAGCCUUUUAAUUAAUUUUUUAAUUGUUAUUAAUCUUUAAGCCCUUUGCAUUCUUAUGUUUUUCCUGUGAAUUGCCAUGAAGGAUUGGGUUUUCUUGUGAUUGACCAAUGACCAUUUAUCUUAUGAAUUCAUUAGGAUGAGUUACUGCUCAGCAAAAACUGUAUUGGAGGAGAGAACAAAAUAGCACCAUAGCUUUAGGAUGUUUUUUUGUAGGAGGCUUUCACAAACUUUCGACUGCCGCUUCUACCUUGCAUUUUAAGCACAUUGUGCCUGUGUUUGUGGCAGAUCUCCUGCCACCGUUCUGAUGUCCUGCAAAAGUUGCAGUGGAGGAGUGAGACAGAGCUCACCAUUUUGGCAGGAGCUCAGUGGCACACAAGUGAGAGUGGA